rnacentral:sRNA from 1 species
GGUUGUUUUGAUGGUAGUGGGUUAUCAGACAAUGCCCCACUGCUAAAUUUGACUGGCUUUAA